rnacentral:rRNA from 1 species
UACGAAGGGGGCUAGCGUUGCUCGGAAUCACUGGGCGUAAAGGGUGCGUAGGCGGAUUUCUAAGUCAGGGGUGAAAGCCUGAGGCUCAACCUCAGAACUGCCUUUGAUACUGGAAGUCUUGAGACCGGAAGAGGUAAGUGGAACUGCGAGUGUAGAGGUGAAAUUCGUAGAUAUUCGCAAGAACACCAGUGGCGAAGGCGGCUUACUGGUCCGGUACUGACGCUGAGGUGCGAAAGCGUGGGGAGCAAACAGG